UAUCAGUUUGUUGGUGAGGUAAUGGCCCACCAAGACUAUUACAGGUACGGGCUCUGAGAGGAGUAGCCCGGAGAUGGGUACUGAGACACGGACCCAGGCCCUAUGGGGCGCAGCAGGCGAGAAAACUUUGCAAUGUGCGAAAGCACGACAAGGUUAAUCCGAGUGGUUUCUGCUAAAGAAACCUUUUGCCGGUCCUAGAAACACUGGUGAAUAAGGGGUGGGCAAGUUCUGGUGUCAGCCGCCGCGGUAAAACCAGCACCUCAAGUGGUCAGGAUGAUUAUCGGGCCUAAAGCAUCCGUAGCUCGUUUUGUAAGUUUUCGGUUAAAUCCAUACGCUCAACGUAUGGGCUGCCGGGAAUACUGCAUAACUAGGAAGUGGGAGAGGUAGACGGUACUCGGUAGGAAGGGGUAAAAUCCUUUGAUCUAUUGAUGACCACCUGUGGCGAAGGCGGUCUACCAGAACACGUUCGACGGUGAGGGAUGAAAGCUGGGGGAGCAAACCGGAUUAGAUACCCGGGUAGUCCCAGCUGUAAACUAUGCAAACUCAGUGAU
rnacentral:rRNA from 1 species